UUAUUACUCCCUCCGUCCCAAAAUUCUUGUCUUGGAUUUGUCUAGAUACGGAUGUAUCAAGUCACGUUUUAGUAUUAGAUACAUUUGUAUCUAGACAAAUCUAAGACAAGAAUUUUGAGACGGAUGGAGUAUUUG
rnacentral:pre_miRNA from 1 species